UACGUAGGGCGCAAGCGUUGUCCGGAAUUAUUGGGCGUAAAGAGCUCGUAGGCGGUGUGUCGCGUCGGCCGUGAAAACCUGCAGCUUAACUGUGGGCUUGCGGUCGAUACGGGCAUCACUGGAGUUCGGCAGGGGAGACUGGAAUUCCUGGUGUAGCGGUGAAAUGCGCAGAUAUCAGGAGGAACACCGGUGGCGAAGGCGGGUCUCUGGGCCGAAUGACUGACGCUGGAGGAGCGAAAGCGU
rnacentral:rRNA from 1 species